GAUGAACGCUGGCGGCGUGCCUAAUACAUGCAAGUCGAGCGAACGGACGAGAAGCUUGCUUCUCUGAUGUUAGCGGCGGACGGGUGAGUAACACGUGGAUAACCUACCUAUAAGACUGGGAUAACUUCGGGAAACCGGGGCUAAUACCGGAUAAUCUUUUGAACCGCAUGGUUCAAAAGUGAAAGACGGUCUUGCUGUCACUUAUAGCUGGAUCCGCGCUGCAUUAGCUAGUUGGUAAGGUCACGGCUUAUCAAGGCCACGAUGCAUAGCCGACCUGAGAGAGGGAUAGGCCACAUGAGAACGUAGACACGGACAAGACGACUAAGGGAGGCAGCAGUAGGGAACCUUCCGCAAUGGGCGAAAGCCUUGCGGAGCAACGGCGAGUGAGUGAUGAAGGUCUUCGGAGCGUAAAACUCGGUUAUGAGGGAAGAACAUAUGUGUAAGGAACUGUGCACAUCGUGACGGUACCUAAUCAGAAAGCAACGGCUAACUACGUG
rnacentral:rRNA from 1 species